UGUUAUCAUGGGAGUGCGUUUGGCCCCUCUUGCACUCUCUCUCUCUCUCUCUACCCCCCUUGCUUCUGUCAUGUGAUGUCUUCCACCAUGUUAUAGCACAGCAAGAAGGCCCAUGCCAGAUACUGGCACCUUGAUAUUGGAUUUCCCAGCCUCCACAACUAAUCAGGAAGAUGACUAAUUUCCCACAAUAAACAAAUAAACUCAAAAUCUGAAUAUGGCCUUUAGACCUUGGAUGAGCUGAUUUUCCUCAGAAGAUCCAGAUUUUGUGAAGCUGUCCCAUUCAAAGCCACCCCCAGAGGCCCGGAGGAGACCACAAAGCUGCGAACACAGCCGGGA